AUUGAACGCUGGCGGCAUGCCUUACACAUGCAAGUCGAACGGCAUCGCGGGAAAGCUUGCUUUCCUGGCGGCGAGUGGCGAACGGGUGAGUAACACAUCGGAACGUACCGGCUAGUGGGGGAUAACCCGUCGAAAGACGGGCUAAUACCGCAUACGUUCUUCGGUGGAAAGCAGGGGACCUUUGGGCCUUGCGCUAGCCGAGAGGCCGAUGUCCGAUUAGCUAGUUGGGGGGGUAAAGGCCUACCAAGGCGACGAUCGGUAGCGGGUCUGAGGGGACGAUCCGCCACACUGUGACUGAGACACAGCCCAGACUCCUACGGGAGGCAGCAGUGGGGAAUCUUGGACAAUGGAGGCAACCCUGAUCCAGCAAUGCCGCGUGGGUGAAGAAGGCCUUCGGGUUGUAAAGCCCUUUCGGCAGGGAAGAAAUCGGCGGGGCGAAUAACCCUGCUGGAUGACGGUACCUGCAGAAGAAGCACCGGCUAACUACGUG
rnacentral:rRNA from 1 species